GACGAACGCUGGCGGCGUGCUUAACACAUGCAAGUCGAACGAAGAGCGAUGGAAGCUUGCUUCUAUCAAUCUUAGUGGCGAACGGGUGAGUAACGCGUAAUCAACCUGCCCUUCAGAGGGGGACAACAGUUGGAAACGACUGCUAAUACCGCAUACGAUCUAAUCUCGGCAUCGAGGAUAGAUGAAAGGUGGCCUCUACAUGUAAGCUAUCACUGCAGGAGGGGAUUGCGUCUGAUUAGCUAGUGGGAGGGGUAACGGCCCACCAAGGCGAUGAUCAGUAGCCGGUCGGAGAGGAUGAGCGGCCACAUUGGGACUGAGACACGGCCCAGACUCCUACGGGAGGCAGCAGUGGGGAAUCUUCCGCAAUGGACGAAAGUCUGACGGAGCAACGCCGCGUGAGUGAUGACGGCCUUCGGGUGGUAAAGCUCUGUUAAUCGGGACGAAAGGCCUUCUUGCGAACAGUUAGAAGGAUUGACGGUACCGGAAUAGAAAGCCACGGCUAACUACGUG
rnacentral:rRNA from 1 species